AGGUAAGCUACUAAGAGCGAAUGGUGGAUGCCUUGACUGGUAAAGGCGAUGAAGGACGUACUAGACUGCGAUAAGCUACGGGGAGCUGUCAAGAAGCUUUGAUCCGUAGAUUUCCGAAUGGGACAACCCAAUGUAUAGAGAUAUACAUUACCUAUAUAGGAGCGAACGAGGGGAAUUGAAACAUCUUAGUACCCUCAGGAAAAGAAAUCAAUAGAGAUUGCGUCAGUAGCGGCGAGCGAAAGCGCAAGAGGGCAAACCCAGUGCUUGCACUGGGGGUUGUAGGACUGCAAUGUGCAAGAGCUGAGUUUAGCAGAACAUUCUGGAAAGUAUAGCCAUAGAGGGUGAUAGUCCCGUAUGCGAAAAACAAAGCUUAGCUAGCAGUAUCCUGAGUAGGGCGGGACACGAGGAAUCCUGUCUGAAUCCGGGUCGACCACGAUCCAACCCUAAAUACUAAUACCAGAUCGAUAGUGCACAAGUACCGUGAGGGAAAGGUGAAAAGAACUGAGGUGAUCAGAGUGAAAUAGAACCUGAAACCAUUUGCUUACAAUCAUUCAGAGCACUAUGUAGCAAUACAGUGUGAUGGACUGCCUUUUGCAUAAUGAGCCUGCGAGUUGUGGUGUCUGGCAAGGUUAAGCAAACGCGAAGCCGUAGCGAAAGCGAGUCUGAAUAGGGCGCUUAGUCAGAUGCUGCAGACCCGAAACGAAGUGAUCUAUCCAUGAGCAAGUUGAAGCUAGUGUAAGAACUAGUGGAGGACUGAACCCAUAGGCGUUGAAAAGCCCCGGGAUGACUUGUGGAUAGGGGUGAAAGGCCAAUCAAACUUCGUGAUAGCUGGUUCUCUCCGAAAUAUAUUUAGGUAUAGCGUUGUGUCGUAAUAUAAGGGGGUAGAGCACUGAAUGGGCUAGGGCAUACACCAAUGUACCAAACCCUAUCAAACUCCGAAUACCUUAUAUGUAAUCACAGCAGUCAGGCGGCGAGUGAUAAAAUCCGUCGUCAAGAGGGAAACAACCCAGACUACCAGCUAAGGUCCCUAAAUCUUACUUAAGUGGAAAACGAUGUGAAGUUACUUAAACAACCAGGAGGUUGGCUUAGAAGCAGCCAUCCUUUAAAGAAAGCGUAAUAGCUCACUGGUCUAGUGAUUUUGCGCGGAAAAUAUAACGGGGCUAAAGUAAGUACCGAAGCUGUAGACUUAGUUUACUAAGUGGUAGGAGAGCGUUCUAUUUGCGUCGAAGGUAUACCGGUAAGGAGUGCUGGAGCGAAUAGAAGUGAGCAUGCAGGCAUGAGUAGCGAUAAUUAAUGUGAGAAUCAUUAACGCCGUAAACCCAAGGUUUCCUACGCGAUGCUCGUCAUCGUAGGGUUAGUCGGGUCCUAAGUCGAGUCCGAAAGGGGUAGACGAUGGCAAAUUGGUUAAUAUUCCAAUACCAACAUUAGUGUGCGAUGGAAGGACGCUUAGGGCUAAGGGGGCUAGCGGAUGGAAGUGCUAGUCUAAGGUCGUAGGAGGUUAUACAGGAAAAUCCGUAUAACAAUACUCCGAGAACUGAAAGGCUUUUUGAAGUCUUCGGAUGGAUAGAAGAACCCCUGAUGCCGUCGA
rnacentral:rRNA from 1 species